CCAGGGAUUGAACCCGUGUCUCCUGCAUUACAGGAGGAGUCUUUUCCAUCUGAGCAUCAAGGAAGCCCCUUCCUUGUUGAGCUCCAAUCUAAUCAGGAAGCAUCCAAACAGACCAUGAUGAGAGCCUAUGGGAGCUUGGAGGAGGGUGUGGAUGGAGGCUCCUGCCCUAGGUUCUAGAGAAUAAUCGAGUGAAUGCAGGUAGGAGAGGUUGGGAGGGGCAGCCUAGGCAGCAUGGGGAUGUUGGAGAAUGGGCAACAUGCUGUUGUGAUUUAUAAGAAAUAGAUAUUUGGACAUUCAGAUGACCAAAGUGUAAUUCCCAUAUAAUUUAGGUCUUCAUCCACUGCUUUUGCUCACAGCUCCCCAAACCCUUGGGAUUUCCUGGAGGAUAAGAGCAACGGGAGCAUCUUUUAUCAUAAUAUAUGGUUUCUUGUCCUGAAACCAAACAUUUCAGAGCCAUCAAGGUGAAAUGGGUGUCUUGUUAUUCAAGAUGCCUUGUUCCAUGAUAACUGGGUUUAUGUUAACAUGAUGGAUUUUGGAAAGCACCUCAGGAUAGGGGCUAGUUGCCAGGGGACCCAAUCGUGCAAUUACAGGAUUGCACGGUUGGAAUUUUCAGUCCCACCCCCUGAUUUCUGGGGAGAGGGGAGGGCUGGAGGUUGAAUUUAUCUCUGGUGGCCAAUGACUGAACCAAUCCUGCCUAAUGAAGCUUCCAUAAAUACCCCAAAGAGCUGGAUUCCUAGAGCUCCCAGGUUGGUGAACCAGUACACUUCCACGAUUCACUGUGCUGGGUACCAAACUCUGCGGAGGCAGAGAAGCUCCUUUGUUCCAGACCUUACCCUAUGGAUCUCUUCAUCUGGCUGUUGGUUCCUAUUUAAUAUUCUUUGUAAUAAAUUGGUAAUCCAUUGAGUAAACAGGAUCCCAGAGUUAUGUGAGCCAUCUAGCAAAGUAAUUGAACCCAAGGAGGGAGUCAUGGAAACCUCUAAUUUACAGGCAGAUGGUUGGAAGCACAGUGAAACCUAGACUUGUGAAUGGCCUCUGAAGUGGGGGGCAGUCUUGUGGGACUGAGCCCUUACCCUGUGGAAUCUGCCACUGCCUCCAGACAGAUGUUGUCAGAAUGGAGUUUGAUUGUAGGACACCCAGCUGAUGGUGUUGGAGAAUACUUGGUGCUGUGGGAUGCCACCUGCCCUACCCCUGCCGUGUUGGAAUUGAGUGUUAGAAUCAUUUCAGGAUUGAUUCUUAGCAAACUGCAUAAGCUUAGCAUGAAGAAGGUCUUCAACACAUACUGGAUGAAUGAAGAAGUGGUUAGAUGAAGGUGUAUGGGUGAUAGUGAGGAGGCAAGAUGGAGGUAAAAUUGGAGAGCUGGGCAGUGCCUGGACCUGCCCCCCACAGCUAUAUGUGAAGAUGCUCAAGUGCUUCUCUUGUCAGUGAUGGGAAGCCACUGAGUGAGCGAAUCAACUUGCUAGAACAAUCCUUCUGGCAAAGGUGUGGAGGUGGCCCAGAGGGGUGAGAUUGGAGCAGGGUCACCAUCAGCCAUGUGUUGUCACUCUGCUCUGAGCUGGGAGCUGGGUGAGUGGGACUGGGCAGGGCUGGCGCAGGUUCUGACUUCUGAAGGUUGAGGAAGGCAGAGCUAGGUGUGCAGCUGAGCUCCCUGUGCAGCAGGAGGAAGUGCAGGAGGUGGAGGCACCCCUGGGCGCUCCUCAAGCCUGGCCCUCGUGGGGGCGGGGCUCCUUUUCCACCAGCACAAGCAUCCUGCCUGAGCCUGCAGGUCAGUCGGAAGCUGCACGUGGAGUCUCUCUCAGGACAGACACAAGACAGCCUCCCUCUCAGUUCCAGAGCCUGGAAUCCAGUGACUGCCUGAGUUGUCAAGCCAGCAGCUCUGGACCCUCAGGAACUUCCUCUGGGAAAGCAACGUCAUGGUGUUGGAUUCCAUGGACAAGGAGCUGGAGGCGAUGAACUUCUUGAGGCUAGGACCACACCAUGUUUGACUUGACUUGAAAUCUGUGCAGCUCAUCCCAGGAGCACAUGUUCUCAAGUGAAAAUCAUGGUCCACCUUGGGGUGUGAAAGGGACCAGUGCUGCCAUCUACAGACAGAAGAGUGAUUAGACUCCUUGGAAAGCCUGGUGAAGAGCAACUGAAAAGAGGGAAGAAAUUGGUUGCUAAUCCCAACUGCCCCCUCAUCUUAUUAUCCUAAUGUUUUAAUAUCUGUCAUUCAC